GUGACGCUUGCUGCUUAAACCGGAUAAUUUUUUCACCAGCCACAUUGCAGUCGGUGGACGCAGGGUUUUGCUUCCACAUGUUUUACCAUUCUCGAUGUGGUGUCUCGUUUAUGAAAAAAAAUGCUGGAGUACGUGUUUCACUCAACACUGAAUUUGGCUCUCAUCGACCUCGAAGUUCUUGUGCUGGGUAGUCCCUAGUCUGGCAAGCUCAUUUUCUUUACAAAUCCCUGGGGUAUCUCUGUGGCCCGGCACCCAGAACAGGGCGUCACAUAUCAGCAUCACCCAGUUUACAUAGGAAUUCCAAUAUGUACUUCAAUUACUCUGUAAUUGUUAUCACAUUCCUAUAUCGGCUAAUUAGACGGUUGUUGUAGAUUUCUAGAAGCAUUGCCAACGAAUCAACGCGCUAAUCUCCCACUCUUCACAUUUUGAGUUUGCAAGGGUCAUAGAUUUUACAUGUGCAAAAUAUGUAUGUUUGUAUAAUUUAAGUCUAGUUAAAAUAUUUAGCAGCGCAAAUGUAAAUUUAAGUUACCACCUACAUAUGUAUAUGUGUUUGUAUUGUAUAUUGAUAUGAGAAUAUCAUUAUGAAUGUUACAAUAUUUACUAGUCAUACCAGUUAUGAAUGUUUUGUCAACUAUUUGUUGUAAUUAUUAAUAACAAACAGCUGUAAACCUUAUGUAUGUAAUUAUCAAGCCAUACCUAUUAACUAAAAAUCAAAAUUAAUUUUAAAUGCAACACUGUUGAGAGUAUUAAAGAUCGUAAAUGAAAUUCCAUGGUUACUUUAAAAAGAAAAGAGAACUGGUACAGUUACUCGAAGAGAGAGUAACUACUCAAAAGGGAAGAGAAAUCAUGCAGUUAAUGGAAGAGAAAAAGCUUUAAGCACUACCUGUCUCUCACUCUUGGGCAACACUGAGGUAAGCGUACUUACAUUAGUUGGCUAUGACAGAACAUGUGUCCCGUUAGCCGAACCAAGCACCUCGAACUUCGGCACUUCUUCUAACAUCUCUGACACCAACUUUCGAGAUGUCUUUCACCACUUAAUCUUUCCAGCGGGCUUUUGGCCGACUCGGUUUGCGUGUUCCAUCUUGGCUUCUUCGCUGGAGCUCCUUCAUUCAUUCUGACUGCAUGGCCUAACCAACGCAACCGCUGUAUUUUGAUAUGUUUAACUAUGCCAACGCCGACGCACAGUUCGUAGUCAGUGGUGUCAACAAUUUACCAUCAAAAAGCGUAAAAAAAA
rnacentral:sRNA from 1 species